rnacentral:rRNA from 1 species
CGCCCAAUUGCUAGCUCAAAAGACAUUUUUAAAAGUUUAAUACUACUAAUAAUAGAUAACCUAAAACCCCCACAACAAACCAUUUUUCCCCCCAAGUAAAGGCGAUAGAAAAGGGACCAGGAGCUAUAGACAAAGUACCGCAAGGGAACGCUGAAAAAGAAGUGAAACAAAUCAAAUAAGCCUAAUAUAGCAGAGACCCCAACUCGUACCUUUUGCAUCAUGAUUUAGCAAGUAAAACCCAAGCAAAGAGACCUAUAGUUUGGAACCCCGAAACUAAGCGAGCUACUCCAAGACAGCCCAAUUGGGGCCAACCCGUCCCUGUGGCAAAAGGGUGGGAAGAGCUUUGAGUAGAGGUGAUAAACCUACCGAGCAUAGUUAUAGCUGGUUGCCUGAGAAAUGAAUAGAAGUUCAGCCCCCCGGCUUACUGCCCCACCUUAGUACUACUAAAAUUGGGUACAGGAAACCAGAGGAGUUAGUUAAAGGAGGUACAGCUCCUUUUUAAUAGAAACACCUUUUACAGAUGGCCAAAGAUCAAAAUAGAUUAAGGAACCUUAUUUUAGUGGGCCUAAAAGCAGCCACCUAAAUAGAAAGCGUUAAAGCUAAAAUAAAUCUAACUACUCCUUUUAUAAUGUUAAUGAAUCUCCCACCUCUGAUAUUUAUCAGACCAUCUCAUGCCCCCAUGAGAGUGAUAAUGCUAAAAUGAGUAAUAAGAAGUUAUAACUUCUCCCAAACACAUGUGUACGCCGGAACGGAUAAGCCACCGACCACUAACCGACCCCAAAAAAAGAGGGAAGUGAAAAUUAAUAGACCAAACUAGAAAACCUUUCACCUAUAAUCGUUAACCCAACACAGGAGUGUAUUUAAGGAAAGACAAAAAGAAAAAGAAGGAACUCGGCAAACCAAAGCCUCGCCUGUUUACCAAAAACAUCGCCUCUUGAAUAAUAAAUAUAAGAGGUCCCGCCUGCCCUGUGACUUUAAGUUUAACGGCCGCGGUAUUUUGACCGUGCGAAGGUAGCGCAAUCACUUGUCUUUUAAAUGAAGACCCGUAUGAAUGGCACCACGAGGGCUUAGCUGUCUCCUUUUUCAAGUCAAUGAAAUUGAUCUCCCCGUGCAGAAGCGGGGAUAAUAACAUAAGACGAGAAGACCCUAUGGAGCUUCAGACCUAGUGCAGACCACGAAAAAUACUUUAAGACAAAAAAGAAAAGCCCAAUGGCCCCUGCACAACUGUCUUUGGUUGGGGCGACCGCGGGGAAAAACAAAACCCCCACGAGGACUGAGAGUUUUACUCCUAAAACCAAGAGCCACAGCUCUAAGUAUCAGAAAUUCUGACCUAAAUGAUCCGGGCAACCGAUCAACGAACCGAGUUACCCUAGGGAUAACAGCGCAAUCCCCUUCCAGAGCCCAUAUCGACAAGGGGGUUUACGACCUCGAUGUUGGAUCAGGACAUCCUAAUGGUGCAGCCGCUAUUAAGGGUUCGUUUGUUCAACGAUUAAAGUCCUACGUGAUCUGAGUUCAGACCGGAGUAAUCCAGGUCAGUUUCUAUCUAUGAAAUAUUCUUUUCCAGUACGAAAGGACCGAGAAGAAAAGGCCCAUGCUCCAAGUAUGCCUUACCCCCAACUACUGAAACCAAAUAAAGAAGGUAAAGGGGGCUACUACUCUACUUAAGAAAAUAGUAU